rnacentral:lncRNA from 1 species
UCCCAAGCUUUACCCACUCACACCAGUAUCUGAGGAUCGACAAUAACUAGAGAAAAAAUAAGAGUAAGGCGUUGGCAGAGAAAUAUAUGGAAACAGCAAGUUAUCCGUUGUACAAUAGAGUGAAACUGUGAGAGGGACGCGAACAAAUAUAGGCAUUGCAGUAAAAGUUGCAUGCUGUUGUCUUAUUCAACGAGGUAGAUGAUGAAAAGGUUUACGUAGACUUGUUU